rnacentral:rRNA from 1 species
CAGCAGCCACGGUAAUACGAAGGGGGCUAGCGUUGUUCGGAAUUACUGGGCGUAAAGGGCGCGUAGGCGGCGACGAUAGUCAGAAGUGAAAGCCCCGGGCUCAACCUGGGAACUGCAUCCAAAACUGGCAGGCUAGAGUAUGGCAGAGGGUGGUGGAAUUUCCUGUGUAGCGGUGAAAUGCGUAGAUAUAGGAAGGAACACCAGUGGCGAAGGCGACCACCUGGGCUCAUACUGACACUGAGGUGCGAAAGCGUGGGGAGCAAACAGGAUUAGAUACCCCAGUAGUCCCUGUCUCUUAUAA